GUCUUUGAGCUUGGAUGACUCAGUUGGUUAGAGUGUGGGGCUACUGACGCCAAUGUUGCAGGUUCGAUUCCCUGUGUAGGACA